rnacentral:rRNA from 1 species
GGCCUUGCGGAGCAUUCGGUCCAACCCCAUGUGAACGUUACCAAUCUGUUGCCUCGGCGGGAUUCUCUUGCCCCGGGCGCGUCGCAGCCCCGGAUCCCAUGGCGCCCGCCGGAGGACCAACUCCAAACUCUUUUUUUCUCUCCGUCGCGGCUCCCGUCGCGGCUCUGUUUUAUUUUUGCUCUGAGCCUUUCUCGGCGACCCUAGCGGGCGUCUCGAAAAUGAAUCAAAACUUUCAACAACGGAUCUCUUGGUUCUGGCAUCGAUGAAGAACGCAGCGAAAUGCGAUAAGUAAUGUGAAUUGCAGAAUUCAGUGAAUCAUCGAAUCUUUGAACGCACAUUGCGCCCGCCAGUAUUCUGGCGGGCAUGCCUGUCCGAGCGUCAUUUCAACCCUCGAACCCCUCCGGGGGGUCGGCGUUGUUACCCAUAUUAUACGUGCAAUAUACUCCAAUAGAAGGGAGUUGACUCUCCCAUGCGGGGGAUGGAGGUCUGACCAACAACCUAUAAAGGAGGGACAGUGAAGUAAGCGCAUUCUAACUUCUCUACCCCUUCAUUGCGGAGCGGGAUAAUUACUGGUUUCAGCGGAUCGUUAUUUGAUUAAUUGAUUUUUGUCUCUGAGGCGGAGGACACUUUUACACCCAACAUUAGGUCGAUUGUCGGCACCU